rnacentral:lncRNA from 1 species
ACACGCACACAUCGUCUCCAGCUCUCUGCUCGCUCUGCUCGCAGUCACAGACACUUGAGCACACGCGUACACCCAGACAUCUUCGGGCUGCUAUUGGAUUGACUUUGAAGGUUCUGUGUGGGUCGCCGUGGCUGCAUGUUUGAAUCAGGUGGAGAAGCACUUCAACGCUGGACGAAGUAAAGAUUAUUGUUGUUAUUUUUUUUUUCUCUCUCUCUCUCUCUUAAGAAAGGAAAAUAUCCCAAGGACUAAUCUGAUCGGGUCUUCCUUCAUAACACUUAUUACUGGACCCACAAACAUACCUGAGGGACACGGACAUAAAAAUUAUCCUAGAGGUGUCUUCACUUUGAAAGGCAGUAUUUGCCAACAGAUUCGUUCUUACUGAAUUACAAAUCUCAGAGAUUUCCUGUUUACCAGAAGUCCUCUUGGAGUGCAUGGGAUAUAGAAGCAGCCAUUUUGAGCAUUCGCUUUGCACCAUCAACUGCCUAGCAUCUGAAAUUGAAGUCAGUCUUACAUAGGAACGAAUGCAGGAAUUUGGGAACUGAGCUGUGCAAGUGCUGAAGAAGGAGAUUUGUUUGGAGGAAA